rnacentral:rRNA from 1 species
AUUGAACGCUGGCGGCAUGCUUUACACAUGCAAGUCGAACGGUAACAGGCCGCAAGGUGCUGACGAGUGGCGAACGGGUGCGUAAUGCAUCGGAACGUGCCCAGUCGUGGGGGAUAACUACUCGAAAGAGUAGCUAAUACCGCAUACGAUCUAUGGAUGAAAGCGGGGGACCGUAAGGCCUCGCGCGAUUGGAGCGGCCGAUGUCAGAUUAGGUAGUUGUUGGGGUAAAGGCUCACCAAGCCAACGAUCUGUAGCUGGUCUGAGAGGACGACCAGCCACACUGGAACUGAGACACGGCCCAGACUCCUACGGGAGGCAGCAGUGGGGAAUUUUGGACAAUGGGCGCAAGCCUGAUCCAGCAAUGCCGCGUGCAGGAAGAAGGCCUUCGGGUUGUAAACUGCUUUUGUACGGAACGAAACGGCUCUGGUUAAUACCCGGGGCUAAUGACGGUACCGUAAGAAUAAGCACCGGCUAACUACGUG